rnacentral:sRNA from 1 species
GUCGACGACUGCCUGAAAUCUGUACCAUCAGAGCAACAAGCUAUUAAACUCGCUACAGACCUGCAAUCAAUGAUGAAAAUGGGUGGUUUCCGACUUACAAAAUGGCUCAGUAACAGAAGAAAUGUUUUGAAUGCAAUACCAGAAUCAGAACGCGCUUCAUCUGUAGUCAGUCUUGGACCUAGUGAUAUGUUGCCAAGUGACAAAGCCUUAGGCGUUAUUUGGGAUGUGAAUGAAGACAAAAUCAAAUUUAAAGUAAAACUAUCAGACAAACCUCUGACAAGGCGUGGUAUACUAUCAAUCGUUAGCUCCAUAUUUGACCCUCUUGGACUGGUUUCUCCAGUUACACUUAGAGCAAAAGCUAUUGUACAGCACCUAUGCAAAGAGAAGUUUGGGUGGGAUGAACAGAUUCCACAAGAGUGCCAUGAUAAAUGGAAAAGUUGGGUGAAGAACUUACCAUGUUUAGAAAAUUUGUCAGUAAACCGUUGUUUCCUACCACGAGAUGUUCAACAUGUUAAAAAUGUACAAUUGCACAUAUUUAGUGACGGUUCAGAACUUGGAUAUGGCGCGUGUGCAUACCUCAGGGUCGUUGAUGAAAAUGACAGAACUACUUGCUCUCUUGUGAUGGGGAAAGCUCGCUUAGCACCAAUUAAACAGGUUUCAAUACCAAGACUGGAAUUAUCAGGAGCUGUUACUGCUUGUCGUUUGUAUGACAUUUUGUCAGAUGAACUUGAAUUAAAUAUAAAUACGGUUACUUUCUGGACAGAUUCAACGAUUGUUUUAGGGUACAUUAGAAAUACGUCACGACGAUUUAAAACAUUCGUAGCAAAUAGAUUGAGCGUUAUACAAAAUACAACAUCUCUAGAUCAGUGGCGUCACGUUGACUCCAAACAAAACCCUGCUGAUAUAGCGUCAAGAGGCAUUGACGCCUGCGAUAGAAAAAAUCUUGAUAUUUGGUUGAACGGUCCAAAGUUUCUUCAUAAAAACUCUGAGCACUGGCCAAGGAACGUACUGGACGAAGAACUAGGGAUAUCUGAGACUGAUACUGAAAUCAAGAAGGAGAUAGCUGUACAUGCUACAACCAAUAAUGCCAUAGACAAUUUGUUAGGAUACUUCUCCGACUGGAUAAAACUCAGACGAGCUAUUGCAUGGUUUAGGAGAUUUAAGAUUUAUUGCAGAAAUCGUUACCUUGGACAUCAUUUGCCGUGUAACAGUGGUAAUCUUAAUGUAACAGAACUUCGGGAGGCUACCGAUGAAAUAUUAGCACAUGUCCAAAUGAGUUAUUUUUCAGAUGAAAUAACAAACUUGAAGAAAGAAACGCCCGUGAAAAAAGGAAGCCGUAUUGCUUCUCUAAAUCCUGUUUUGGUUAAUGAACUUAUCCGAUCAAAAGGGCGCCUAAAUUAUGACUUAAUCACUUGUCCCGUAAUACUGCCAAACGAACAUCACGUGACUACGCUUAUCAUCCGUUAUUAUCACGAAACCACGGGACACGUGGGAAAACAACAGGUGCUUGCAGCUUCUCGUGAAAAAUAUUGGAUAUUGAAAGGAUCCAGUGCUGUGAAGACAGUUAUCGAUCGUUGCGUACCAUGCAAACGACAACAUGGCCCGUUUUGUAAACAGCAGAUGGCACCCCUACUCGAGGAACAGAUGACUGCAGACAAACCUCCUUUUACCUUUGUCGGAGUUGACUACUUUGGUCCAUUAAACGUUAAACUUGGACGGUCAGUUGUUAAGAGAUAUGGAUGCCUCUUUACGUGCCUUACAACAAGAGCGGUUCAUAUAGAAAUAGCCCACAGUUUAAAUACGGAUUCUUUUAUUUCAGCCUUUCAACGCUUUACAAGUAGACGAGGCAUUCCCGAAAAGGUCUACAGUGAUAAUGGAACAAAUUUCGUUGGCGGUGAAAUCGAACUUCGAAAAAACAUUGAACAAUGGAAUAAAGCAACUAUAUCAAAUUAUAUGCUACACAAGGACAUUAUUUGGACAUUUAAUCCACCAUAUGCAAGUCACCGCGGUGGUGCAUGGGAACGAAUGAUUCGUUCAACAAGGAACAUUUUUAAAGCACUGAUCAAUCAACAACUACUUAGCGAUGAACAAUUACUGACAUUUAUGGCCGAAACUGAGCGUAUUAUGAAUGAUAGACCGAUAACAGCAAUAAGUGACGAUUGUCGUGAUUUACCAGUUUUAACGCCAAAUAUGCUAUUAUUGAUGAAGAGCAACACGUCAACACCACAAGGUGUGUUUGACAAAAAGGAUAUAUAUGCAAAACGUUGGUGGAAACAAAUACAACACCUAGCGAAUGAAUUCUGGAAACGUUGGUUGAGGGAAUACUUACCAACCCUACAGCAAAGAAGAAAAUGGCAGAGGGAAGAACGAGAUGUUGAAAUAGACGAUAUUGUUUUAGUUGCUGAUGAACGUAUACAGAGAGGACAAUGGCCUUUAGGUAGAAUAGCCGAGGUCACAAGGAGCCGUGAUGGUCACGUCCGUAGCUGCGUGGUCAAAACUAGUCAGUCACAUAUUUUGAGACCUAUAAAUAAACUAUGCUUACUCGAGUGUUCUAAAUAG